rnacentral:tRNA from 1 species
CUUGAUAUAGUUAAAUUGGUAGAGUGCUUGCCUUGAAUGCCAAAGACCCUAGGUUAAAUCCCUAGCACCAAAA